UAACGAAUAUUCCGCAAUGCGCGAAAGCGUGACGGAGCAAUGCCGCGUGCAGGAUGAAGCCCCUCGGGGUGUAAACUGCUGUCAGGGUGCAGGAACACAAUGACCGCACCCAGAGGAAGGACCGGCUAACUUCGUGCCAGCAGCCGCGGUAAUACGAAGGGUCCGAGCGUUAAUCGGAAUCACUGGGCUUAAAGAGUGCGUAGGCUGACUCGCAAGUGCUUUGUGAAAUCCCAUGGCUCAACCAUGGAAUGGCUUGGUAGACUGCGGGUCUUGAGGUCGGUAGGGGCUGCCGGAACAGUAGGUGUAGCGGUGAAAUGCGUAGAUAUCUACUGGAACGCCAAAGGCGAAGGCAGGCAGCUGGGCCGAUUCUGACGCUGAGGCACGAAAGCGUGGGUAGCGAACAGGAUUAGAUACCCCCGUAGUCC
rnacentral:rRNA from 1 species